rnacentral:rRNA from 1 species
GGACUACCAGGGUAUCUAAUCCCGUUCGCUCCCCUGGCUUUCGUGUCUCAGCGUCGGCACAACCCCAGUCGCUUGCUUUCGCCCUUGGCGUUCCAAAUGAUAUCUACGCAUUUCACCGCUCCACCAUUUGUUCCAGCGACCCCUAGUUGGCCCAAGACACCCAGUAUACCCAGCAGUUCCACGGUUGAGCCGUGGGAUUUCACAAGGUACUUAGGCAUCCGCCUACACACGCUUUAAGCCCAGUGAUUCCGCCUAACGCUUGGCACCUCUGUCUUACCGCGGCUGCUGGCAC